UCCUCGCUCACCUGCUGCUCACUCACCCCUUGCCUCAGCCAGCAGCUGAUUCCACUUUGCAGCCCACAUGGAAUUCGCCACAGGACUUCUGUUGAAUAUUUUCCUGCCUAUGUUUUGGGCCACGGACAUCAGGACCGGACUGAAGCACAGGCAGUUCUUGCACAGGAUGGGGUAUGGGUGCACAGUGGCUUCCCAAACCUGUUCUUUGGCCUUGCCAAGGUUCAUCCCCUCAGCCUCAGGAAUGCAUGGAGCCCCAGUUUUCAGCGUACAGUCACAACCAGGUUAUGAAGCAGAUGGUGC